GGUCUAAUGAACUUAAAAUUUUUUUUUGCCUUUGAGCAAUUCACUAUGCUGUUGAAUAUUAAUCCUCUCAAAAAAAUGUUUGAAGAAAUUUUCUUUUUAUUUAUGAAAUCUGAAAUGAGAAAAAUUUAAACCCCCCCCCUUUUUUUUCACAUCCCCGUUUCCCUUUUUCCAAAACUGAUAUCAAUUCAAAUUUCUAAUGGAGUUUGCAACAAUAACUAC
rnacentral:lncRNA from 1 species